rnacentral:rRNA from 1 species
GACGAACGCUGGCGGCGUGCUUAACACAUGCAAGUCGAGCGAUGAAGCACCUUCGGGUGUGAAUUAGCGGCGAACGGGUGAGGAACACGUGAGAAAUCUGCCUUCAACUCUGGGAUAACACCGGGAAACCGGUGCUAAUACCGGAUAUGAGCCUUGAUCGCAUGAUCGGGGCUGGAAAGUUUUUCGGUUGAAGAUGAUCUCGCGGCCUAUCAGCUUGUUGGUGAGGUAAUGGCUCACCAAGGCGACGACGGGUAGCCGGCCUGAGAGGGCGACCGGCCACACUGGGACUGAGACACGGCCCAGACUCCUACGGGAGGCAGCAGUGGGGAAUAUUGGGCAAUGGAGGAAACUCUGACCCAGCGACGCCGCGUGAGGGAUGAAGGCCUUCGGGUGUAACCUCUUCAGUAGGAAGAAGCGAAGUGACGGUACCUACAGAAGAAGCACCGGCUAA